rnacentral:rRNA from 1 species
GAGUUUGAUCAUGGCUCAGAUUGAACGCUGGCGGCAGGCCUAACACAUGCAAGUCGAACGGUAACAGGAAACAGCUUGCUGUUUCGCUGACGAGUGGCGGACGGGUGAGUAAUGUCUGGGAAACUGCCUGAUGGAGGGGGAUAACUACUGGAAACGGUAGCUAAUACCGCAUAACGUCGCAAGACCAAAGAGGGGGACCCUCGGGCCUCUUGCCAUCGGAUGUGCCCAGAUGGGAUUAGCUUGUUGGUGGGGUAACGGCUCACCUAGGCGACGAUCCCUAGCUGGUCUGAGAGGAUGACCAGCCACACUGGAACUGAGACACGGUCCAGACUCCUACGGGAGGCAGCAGUGGGGAAUAUUGCACAAUGGGCGCAAGCCUGAUGCAGCCAUGCCGCGUGUAUGAAGAAGGCCUUCGGGUUGUAAAGUACUUCAGCGGGGAGGAAGGGAGUAAAGUUAAUACCUUUGCUCAUUGACGUUACCCGCAGAAGAAGCACCGGCUAACUCCGUGCCAGCAGCCGCGGUAAUACGGAGGGUGCAAGCGUUAAUCGGAAUUACUGGGCGUAAAGCGCACGCAGGCGGUUUGUUAAGUCAGAUGUGAAAUCCCCGGGCUCAACCUGGGAACUGCAUCUGAUACUGGCAAGCUUGAGUCUCGUAGAGGGGGGUAGAAUUCCAGGUGUAGCGGUGAAAUGCGUAGAGAUCUGGAGGAAUACCGGUGGCGAAGGCGGCCCCCUGGACGAAGACUGACGCUCAGGUGCGAAAGCGUGGGGAGCAAACAGGAUUAGAUACCCUGGUAGUCCACGCCGUAAACGAUGUCGACUUGGAGGUUGUGCCCUUGAGGCGUGGCUUCCGGAGCUAACGCGUUAAGUCGACCGCCUGGGGAGUACGGCCGCAAGGUUAAAACUCAAAUGAAUUGACGGGGGCCCGCACAAGCGGUGGAGCAUGUGGUUUAAUUCGAUGCAACGCGAAGAACCUUACCUGGUCUUGACAUCCACGGAAGUUUUCAGAGAUGAGAAUGUGCCUUCGGGAACUGUGAGACAGGUGCUGCAUGGCUGUCGUCAGCUCGUGUUGUGAAAUGUUGGGUUAAGUCCCGCAACGAGCGCAACCCUUAUCCUUUGUUGCCAGCGGUCCGGCCGGGAACUCAAAGGAGACUGCCAGUGAUAAACUGGAGGAAGGUGGGGAUGACGUCAAGUCAUCAUGGCCCUUACGACCAGGGCUACACACGUGCUACAAUGGCGCAUACAAAGAGAAGCGACCUCGCGAGAGCAAGCGGACCUCAUAAAGUGCGUCGUAGUCCGGAUUGGAGUCUGCAACUCGACUCCAUGAAGUCGGAAUCGCUAGUAAUCGUGGAUCAGAAUGCCACGGUGAAUACGUUCCCGGGCCUUGUACACACCGCCCGUCACACCAUGGGAGUGGGUUGCAAAAGAAGUAGGUAGCUUAACCUUCGGGAGGGCGCUUACCACUUUGUGAUUCAUGACUGGGGUGAAGUCGUAACAAGGUAACCGUAGGGGAACCUGCGGUUGGAUCACC